rnacentral:sRNA from 2 species
UAAUGAGAACAGAAAAAGGGCAGUUGCUCUAAACAACUACCCUAUGCAGAACCGUUUAAGACGGUGGCAUAUCUUUAAUUAUUAAAAA